rnacentral:rRNA from 1 species
CCUACGGGCGGCAGCAGUGGGGAAUAUUGCGCAAUGGGCGAAAGCCUGACGCAGCGACGCCGCGUGAGGGAUGAAGGUCUUCGGAUCGUAAACCUCUGUCAGCAGGGAAGAACGGUCACUGUGCUAAUCAGCAGUGAAUUGACGGUACCUGCAAAGGAAGCACCGGCUAACUCCGUGCCAGCAGCCGCGGUAAUACGGAGGGUGCGAGCGUUAAUCGGAAUUACUGGGCGUAAAGCGCUCGUAGGCGGUAUGUCAAGUCAAGGGUGAAAUCCCCGCGCUCAACGUGGGAACUGCCUUUGAAACGGGCAAACUGGAGUGUGUGGGAGGAUAGUGGAAUUCCAGGUGUAGGAGUGAAAGCCGUAGAUAUCUGGAGGAACAUCAGUGGCGAAGGCGACUAUCUGGCACAUAACUGACGCUGAGGAGCGAAAGCGUGGGUAGCAAACAGGAUUAGAUACCCCAGUAGUC